GACGAACGCUGGCGGCGUGCCUAAUACAUGCAAGUAGAACGCUGAAGAGAGGAGCUUGCUCUUCUUGGAUGAGUUGCGAACGGGUGAGUAACGCGUAGGUAACCUGCCUUGUAGCGGGGGAUAACUAUUGGAAACGAUAGCUAAUACCGCAUGACAAUGGAUGACACAUGUCAUUUAGUUGAAAGGCGCAAUUGCUCCACUACAAGAUGGACCUGCGUUGUAUUAGCUAGUAGGUGAGGUAAUGGCGCACCUAGGCGACGAUACAUAGCCGCCCUGAGAGGGCGAUCGGCCACACUGGGAGUGAGACACGGCCCAGACUCCUACGGGAGGCAGCCGGAGUGAAUCUUCGGCAAUGGGUGCAACCCUGACCGCGAAACGCCGCGUGCGUGAAGAAGGUUGCCGGAUCGUAAAGCUCUGUUGUAAGUCAAGAACGGGUGUGAGAGUGGAAAGUUCACACUGUGACGGUAGCUUACCAGAAAGCGCCGGCUAACUACGUG
rnacentral:rRNA from 1 species